rnacentral:rRNA from 1 species
AUGGCGGCGGCGGCGGCGCCGGUGUCCGGCCAUCUCCGGGCGCGGUGCCCCUGCUCGCCCUUCCGCCACCGUCGGCCGGUUGCUCCGGCCCUUCCCCGCCGAACAAGGCAACACUAUUCCAAUAGUUCAGACAUUGGAAUUAGAGAAAGCGGGGAUUUCAGGCUUGGAUUUUAUGCCAACUUUAAUGUGCAAAGUAGCAAACAAGAAUGGAUGAAUGAGAGCAGGAAGAUGUUUUAUCUCAGAACCACCAACGGUGUCAGCAAUAACAUCCACAAUGGAGCCACUCCUCUAAGGGCUGAAGAUCUAAAUCAUGAACAACCCUCGGGUUCAACCUAUCCUUCCAUGUAUAACAAUCCAAGAGAAAGAGUGCCAUCUAAAUCAACUGUGAAUAGAUAUGCCAAUACAGAUUUGGUCAAGUGUAGUUUGACAAAUCGGUUUGCCCAUGCUGUGUCGACCCCAACGAGUGUUGUUAACAAUCACAACAAACUAUCGAGCAUGCCUAGUAGCUCUAAGGGGGAGAUUUCUUUGCAUGAUUGGUCAUCCAUGGAAGCCCCUCUGCCUAAUUUCUCAAAUACGGAGGCAACUUCAGAAUUUGAUGGCAAUGCUAAUGUUGGGUAUGAGAAUAAACACAAACUUUUUGCCAAAAAGGUGGCUCCAUCUUCCCCAGAAAAAAUAUCCUUGACCAAUGAGUCUAAAAGCACACGGAAGGCCCUUGCUGGCAUCUAUGACGAAGUUUUGGUUGUUGACAAUAUCAACUCAGCUGAGAAUGUUGUUCGAUUGCUUACUACAAAGUACAAAAGCUUUGUUCAUGCAUGCGACACAGAGGUAGCAAAUAUUGAUGUCAAAAAAGAGACACCGGUUGAUCAUGGAGAAGUAAUAUGCUUUAGCAUCUAUUCAGGAAAUUUGGAUGCACAUGCCGAUUUUGGAAAUGGCAAAACAUGCAUUUGGGUGGAUGUGCUAGACGGUGGGAGGGAUGUCUUGAUGGCGUUUGCUCCAUUCUUCGAGGACAUGUCUAUCAAGAAGGUUUGUCAUAACUAUAGUUUUGAUAGUCAUGUCAUUGAGAAUUAUGGAAUCAAGGUGGCUGGGUUUCAUGCUGAUACAAUGCAUCUUGCACGCCUUUGGGAUUCUAACAGGAGAAUCGAUGGUGGAUAUUCACUCGAAGGACUUACAAAUGACCUGAGAGUCAUGAGUGAUGUUGGAAAUGAUUUAAUUAAAACUGGAAAGGUAUCAAUGAAAACAAUCUUUGGUACAAAAAAGAUUAGAAAAGACGGAGGUGAAGGGAAAAUUGUAUAUAUUGAACCAGUAGAAAAGCUGCAAAGGGAAGACAGAAAGAUGUGGAUUUGCUAUUCAUCAUUGGAUUCAGUCAAUACACUGAAGAUUUAUGAAAGCCUGAAAAGCAAGCUUGAAGCAAAAGAAUGGAUUUUCGAUGGUUGUCCUAGAGGAACAAUGUACGAUUUCUAUGAAGAGUAUUGGCGUCCCUUUGGUUCCCUUCUUGUGAAGAUGGAAACAGAGGGAAUGCUUGUUGAUCGUGCUUACCUCUCAGAGAUCGAGAAAACUGCUGCUGCUGAGCGGAAAUUGGCUGCAAAUAAAUUCAGGCAAUGGGCAUCUGAAUAUUGUCCAGAUGCCAAGUACAUGAAUGUGAAUAGUGAUAUACAACUUCGCCAGCUUUUCUUUGCUGGCAUUGAGAACAGGCAUAAACAUGGUGAGACCUGGCCACAAAGUAAAAUGUUUAAAGUGCGAAAUGAUGAAAACGUAGCUCCAGAGGGCCAGAAGGCUUCGAAGUUCCGCACAAUCGAACUUUCUGGUAUUGUGGAAGAUCUGAAAAUUGAUAUGUUCGCCCCAAAUGGGUGGCCUUCAGUCAGCAUUGAUGCAUUGAAAAUAUUGUCUGGUAAGAUACCCAUGGAUCAAAUUUACACAAUAGAAGACGACCAAGAGCGAGAUGAAUAUAGCAAUGGUUCAGAACUUCCCGAGCAGGAUAUAGAAGCGGCAUCAUCAUAUGGAAUUGCAUAUGAACCGUUUGGUGGAGGAAAGAAGGGAACAGAAGCAUGCCAUGCCAUUGCGGCUCUGUGUGAAAGGUCCUCUAUCGACAAGUUGAUAUCCAGCUUCAUUCUUCCCCUGCAGGGAGAUAAUAUAUCAUGCAAGGAAGGGCGCAUUCACUGCUCGCUAAAUAUCAACACUGAGACAGGGCGCUUAUCAGCACGAAUACCAAAUUUGCAGAAUCAACCUGCACUUGAAAAGGAUCGAUAUAAGAUCCGCCAAGCUUUUGUUGCAGCUCCAGGGAACUCUCUUGUUGUUGCUGAUUAUGGCCAGCUGGAGCUGAGAAUCUUAGCCCAUCUUACUAGUUGUAAAAGCAUGCUGGAUGCUUUCAAGGCUGGUGGUGACUUUCAUUCUAGAACAGCCAUGAAUAUGUACGAGCAUGUACGUGAUGCUGUUCACGAAAAGAAAGUACUUCUUGAGUGGCAACCUCAACCAGGUCAAGAGAAGCCUCCAGUGCCAUUGUUGAAGGAUGCUUUUGGUGCUGAGAGAAGGAAGGCUAAAAUGCUUAAUUUCUCUAUUGCAUAUGGAAAGACAGCUCAGGGACUAUCCCGUGAUUGGCAGGUGUCUGUCAAGGAGGCAAGGGAUACACUCAAACUCUGGUACAGAGAUCGAAAAGAAGUUUCAGCUUGGCAAAAGAGGCAGAAAGAGCUUGCUCGUGAAAAAUGCGAAGUAUACACAUUGCUAGGACGGUCACGCCGCUUUCCUAACAUGACUCACGCACCCCAUGGUCAAAAAGGUCAUGUUGAUCGUGCUGCUAUAAAUGCACCAGUGCAGGGCAGUGCAGCAGAUGUUGCCAUGUGUGCAAUGCUUGAGAUAGAAAGAAAUGCUCGCCUUAAGGAGCUUGGUUGGAGACUCCUAUUACAGGUGCACGAUGAAGUGAUACUGGAGGGGCCUACAGAAUCUGCUGAAGCGGCCAGGGCCAUCGUGGCAGAGUGCAUGUCCAAACCCUUCUAUGGAACCAACAUCCUGAAGGUGGACCUGGCUGUUGACGCCAAGUGUGGAAAGAGUUGGUAUGACGCCAAGUAG